rnacentral:rRNA from 1 species
AUUGAACGCUGGCGGCAGGCCUAACACAUGCAAGUCGAGCGGAUGAAGAGAGCUUGCUCCUGGAUUCAGCGGCGGACGGGUGAGUAAUGCCUAGGAAUCUGCCUGGUAGUGGGGGAUAACGUCCGGAAACGGGCGCUAAUACCGCAUACGUCCUGAGGGAGAAAGUGGGGGAUCUUCGGACCUCACGCUAUCAGAUGAGCCUAGGUCGGAUUGGCUAGUUGGUGGGGUAAAGGCCUACCAAGGCGACGAUCCGUAACUGGUCUGAGAGGAUGAUCAGUCACACUGGAACUGAGACACGGUCCAGACUCCUACGGGAGGCAGCAGUGGGGAAUAUUGGACAAUGGGCGAAAGCCUGAUCCAGCCAUGCCGCGUGUGUGAAGAAGGUCUUCGGAUUGUAAAGCACUUUAAGUUGGGAGGAAGGGCAGUAAGUUAAUACCUUGCUGUUUUGACGUUACCAACAGAAUAAGCACCGGCUAACUUCGUG